CACUAGAAAGCUAAACCGGGUGUAGCGUUAGCCUUUUAAGCUAAAGACUGGUGGCCCCCAACCACCUCUAGUGA
rnacentral:tRNA from 1 species